AACGAACGCUGGCGGCAUGCCUAACACAUGCAAGUCGAACGAUACCUUCGGGUCUAGUUGCGCACGGGGGCGUAACGCGGGGUGACCUGCCCUUAGGUUCGCAAUAACUCCCCGGAAGGGGUCCUAAUACCGGAUAAUGUCCUCGGACCAAAGAUUUAUCGCCUGUGGAUGGGCCCGCGUUGGAUUCGCUUGUUGGUAUGGUAAAAGCCUAUCAAGGGGACGAUCCAUAGCUGGUGUGAGAGGCUGAUCAGCCACACUGGGACUGAGACACGGACCAGACUCUUGCGGGAGGAAGGAGGGGGGAAUAGUGGACAGUGGGCGAAAGACUGAGGCAGCAAGGCCGGGUGAGUGAUGAAGGCCUGAGGGUUGUAAAGCUCUUUUACCCGUGAUGAUAAUGACGGUACCGGGAGAAUAAGCGCCGGCUAACUACGUG
rnacentral:rRNA from 1 species